CUGUGUAAAGCAGCAUCUUAUUGUGGUCUUCAUUUGCAUGGUGCUCAUCACCAGUAAGCCUGGGCAUCCCUUAGAUGUUCAUUGGACGGAUGUGCUGCUGCUUCUGUGAAAAGGCCUGUUCACGUCUUUUAUUUUUCUGUUGGAUUACUUGUUUUUUUCCGCCAUGGAUUUACAAGUCCUUUCCAUAUUUUUGAUGCUUUAUCCUUUGUCAGUUGCAUGUGGCAGACGUCACAAGUCUGCUCCAGUUUGUGGCUCGCAUUUCACUUUCUCUAAGGUGUCUCCACUUCUCUCUUCCCUCCCACACCUGUGCCAGGGACGCUGGUGUGCGUGCGUGUGCAUGUGUGCGUGUGUGUGGAGGAGGGGUUCCUGUGUUCCUCAGAACCCCGUGCAGACCGACCCCACUGCUCCACCUGCUCCCUGGGGCCUUAAGAGACCUGCCUCCCAGAUCUGCCAUGAAAUGCUCUGCUCUCUUCUCUUUUCCUUGCUGUCCCCGGGGCUGGAGGAGCACAGGCCUCCCAGGCACAGGACCUUGGCCUUGCUGGACUCCCAUCUUCUUCCAAAGGUUGAGCCUGGGGUAGCCAGAAAUAAGAGGUAAGUUGGGGCAGGUGGGGGUGGGGGUCGGUAAGGAGGGGCCCUAACCUCCCAAAAACUAGCCUGGACAGGACCCCAGGGGCCGGCAAAGUCUCGGUUGGGAAGGGCUGGGGCUGGGCAGAGGGUGUGGCAGGUGUGGACUUGGCAGCAGACAGCUCCCUGGGGUUGUGGGGGUGGCGGGCUCUGGGUCAACGGCCUUGGUGAGGCUUAGGGAUGGAGUCCUGUCAGGUCUGAAGGCUGCGCACAGUCCUCGAUUGCUAACUACCAGGUCAGAGAAAUGGCUUCUCUGUGACCCAUGACCCCAUAUUCUGAUUUAAUGAUGGCCAAAGCAGGCCUGGCUCAGGCUGGUCUGGGGAUAGGGCUGAGGACCCAGAGGAAGGCGUGAGGCCCAAAGCUCAGGAGACUGUGGGCACCUCAAGGCUGCAGCUGGACCUCACCGUGUGGCCUGGCCCAGGCAGGUGAGGCCUGGAGUCAGUCUGUCCGGCCCCUUGGCAGGCCUGGAGGCCGGAGCGUUCCUGGUCACCGCUGUGCGGUGCCUGUGGUAAUGGGGCUGUUGGCGUUUUGCAAUGGGCCGGGGGUGGGGAGGCUGCGCACACAUGCUUCCUGUGGUGACUGGGCGCUUCCUGUUUUCUCAGGCGCCGGACUUGCUACUGCCGAUGUGGAAACCGGGGCAGCUGCAGCCUGGGUGGCUCUGGGCUGGGUGCCUUGACCCUGCCCAGAGGGGCCUAAGCAGGCCCACCACCCCAGGCCCCAACCCGGGCAAUGGACGGCCUGAGUUAACCCCCAUACCAGGCCUCCAUCACUCCUAUCCCCAGCAGCUCCUGCCAAGAGGAAAGGGCCAGGCAGGGCUGUCACUCAAGACUGAGCAGGUGGUCCAGGUGGGAGGUGCAGGGGUGAGAGCUCUGGUCUCGGCUCUGUCCUUUGUUCACUGAGGCCCUUUGGCCAUCCCUGACCCACUCCAGGCCUUGGCUUCCUCUUUUGUAUGGUGAUCGAGGCACCCAUGAUCUAAAAUCCCUCACCCAUUUCUGCCCCAAUUCUGACAUCCCUUAAUUUUCCAUCCCUUAGUUUUGGGAACAGUGUCAGCGCUGAGGCUGGGACCCUCAGAGAGUGGCUUGGCAUAGGCCUUGACAGAGAGGGGACCUGGAGAGACUGAGGGGAAGGAAGAGGCGUGCCAGGUGGGAGGACUAGACUAGGGCCAGGUAUGGAGGUGGGAAGGCCAGGACCAAGUUUGGAACUUAAGGUGUUGAUGGGACAGACUCGAGAGUGGUAGGUGACAAGGCUGAUCUGGAUCCAAAGCGGGAGGAAGAUUUGAGGGUCCUCUUUAUUCAUGCAAACUUUAGGAAAGUGUCUGAGACCCCCUUCACAUUCUUCCUCAGAAGAAAGACAAAUGGGUAUUUGGGGGGUGGGGGCAGGGCCAGCCCUUCCCUUCCGUCCACCAAAGAGAUGGCUGCCCAUGUGGUGUGAUGGGGGUGCCUCAUGAGGGACCCGAACCUUUCUCCGUGUGUCGGGUGCCUGGAGAUCCAGCAUCUGGGCCAGGCUCAGGAUUCUGCAUUGCCGUCUUCCCGAACCUGUUUUGUUUUUAAGCUGCUAUUGCAAGAAGGGGUGGGAGAUGACUUUGCUUCUCGUUGAGUUUGCUGACGGCGUCUGACCUCUGGGGGAAGAGUUUCUUUGCAGGAAGGCCCAGGCCUGAGCCCCUGGGAGCUGACCAGUCCACUGACUGGGUUCAGCCAUCCCUUCGGCUCAGGAGGUCCUGAGAUGCCUGCCUCACAAGUAGCUCCGCCUAGUUCUCAAGGCCUGCCCGUCACAGCGCAAGGAGUGGUUCCGGUCAGAGAGGCUUCGGGGACCCCAAGACCCUGAGGCCCAGCCCGGCCCCCGCCAUCCUGCCCCUGCCUUGGUGCCUCGGGUUGGCCCAAGUGCUGAGUUGGCAGCUCAGCAGCUGCUCCUGCCCACGGAGG
ensembl:lncRNA